rnacentral:lncRNA from 1 species
UUAGCAAGCACAUAGAUUGGAAUAUCAAGGAAUUUAGAGAUCAUGUGAGUGUGGAGCUAAGAGCUCAUGUGACAUUACAUCAAUGUCGAAGAGCUAAGCAAAAGGCGCUGAAACUAAUUUAUGGAGAUCUAAAUGCUCAUACAAGGUAAUGUGGAACUAUUGUAAUGAAAUUGGGAGGACAAAUCCAAAUACUUCUAUCUAUAUGAAGUUGGUUGAAAAUGAGGUUUCUAACAAACCUAAUAGAUUUCAGAGAAUCUAUAUUUGUUUUGGGGGUUGUAAGGAAGGUUUCAAGAGUGGUUGUAGAAGGAUAGUAGGAGUAGAUGGUUGUUGGCUUAAGGGUCCAAUGUAUGGGACUCAGUUGUUGACCGCUAUUGGAAUUGAUCCUAAUAAUAAUUCAUGAUAAGAUUAUAGGGGCAAGCAUACAUGAUAAGUGGGUUGUGGACUUGCUAAACAAAAUAUGCAGUUGUAGGAAAUGGGAUUUGACAGGAAUUCCUUACAAGCAUGCCAUUGCUGCAAUUUGGGCUAAAAAAGAUGAGAUUAAAUUCUAUGUUCAUGAUUGCUACAAGGUGGAAACAUAUAGAAGGGUCUAUGACUUUGCUAUUCUACCUAUGAAUGGUCAACAUAUGUGGCCUAAGUCAAGCAACGUGCCUCCUUUGACUCCACAAUUAGUAAGAACAAGCACAAAAGGAAGAAAGCAAAAACUAAGGAGAAAAGAACCAGAUGAAGUAGGAGCGAGUAGAACUAAAAUGAAAAGAAAGCAGAAUUCCUUGCUUUGUAGCUUAUGUCAUAAUGCUGGCCACAAUAAAAGAACAUGCAAAUUUAUUAUUCAGCUAGAUUCCCAAGUUGAUGAGCCUUCAUCUUAUGCUCCUGCCUCGUCAACUCGUGCAAAGCUUCCAGUAUCAAUAACUUACAAUUGAAUUCUGUUUAUUAAGUUAUUAUAAUAUGAACGAGUAAUAGUACCAUAUAUUUUGUUUGCAGGUAAGAAGAGGACAUGUGGUGCAUAAACAUAUGCAAUGUGCUCAAGAAUUUGAUAGUUAACAUGACUGAAGUUCUAAUAUUGUUGCUGCUGAAAUGUUGAUAUUUUGUUGCUGAAAUGGUGAUAUUUUGCUGUUGAAAUGCUGGAAUGAGUACUUUUGCCGCUGAAAUGCUGAAUUUUUGCUGUUGAUAUGCUGAUUUUUGCUGCUGAAAAUGCUGAUUUUCGCUGCUGAAAUGCUGAUCAUUUUGCUCUUGAAAUGCUGGAAUGCUGUAUUUUUCCCGCAGAAAUACUGAUUUUUGUUGCUGAAAUGCUGAUUUUGCUGCUGAAAUGCUGAUAGCUUUGCACUUUGAAUGCGUUUUUACUGCUGGAAUGCUGAUUUUUGCUGCUGGAGUGCUGAUUGAAGGCUUUUUUACUGCUGAAAUGUUGUCGAUAUUAGUUUUGCUGUUGCGAAGCUUUAUUUUUCUUCUGUUAGAUACUUUAAUUCUGUUGAAUCUGUUUCUUUUCUUCCUUUUUUGUCUAUGGUGAUAGUUAGAAUUGAUAGUUAGUGGAAUUGGAAUUGUACAGAUAUGAUCUUCAUUUUUGAACCAAUGAUGUUCAAUGAAAUCUGAAUAUUUAGGUGAUGCCGACUCUUUUCAUUGGUUUUACCUUUCUGUAGCUAGUUUAGCAUUACACAUUUUAUAAAGAACAUUCUGUUAGUUUUUUAACUGAAGUUAUGACUUUCUGUUAGUGAGACUAAAAGUGCUCAAGAUUUGUAAACUUAAAGGACAAAUAGUGCUUGGGGUUAUAUUUUGAGGACAAAGUUAAGCCUACCCCUAAUGUUAGGGAUAAUUUUGACUAAAAACUCAGGAACUUAUCACUAAAUGUGUUGCAACUUUGCUUAUGAUUCAGGUAAAUACAAUUGGUUGCCUCAGUUCUUUUCCUGUGUUCUGUUGACAAGUUUUUUCAUACCGUAAUUCCAGUACAUUUUCCAAGUUUUUAUGUUUCUUCUGACUGACUUAGUGGCUUUUGUGAAAAGAUCAUUGCUCUAGAACGUUCAGAAUGGAAAUUAUCUUGCUUGGAUUACCUAUCAUUUUCUGUCCUUCGCUGGAA